AGGGAAAGGUGAAAAGGACCCCGGGAGGGGAGUGAAAGAGAACCUGAAACCUUAUGCUUACAAGCAGAGGGAGCGAAAGUGACCUCGUACUUUUUGUAGAACGGGCCAACGAGUUAUGGUGUGCAGCGAGGUUAAGGUGUUCAGCACCGGAGCCGAAGGGAAACCGAGUCUUAAUAGGGCGAGAAGUUGUAUGCUGUAGACCCGAAACCGGGUGACCUAUCCAUGAGCAGGUUGAAGUAACUGUAAAAGGUUAUGGAGGACCGAACCCAUAUCUGUUGAAAAAGGUUGGGAUGACUUGUGGAUAGCGGUGAAAUUCCAAUCGAACCCGGAGAUAGCUGGUUCUCCUCGAAAUAGCUUUAGGGCUAGCCUCGCAGCAAGAUAUCCGGAGGUAGAGCACUGAAUGUUCUAGGGGCCUUCACCGGUUACCGAAAACUAUCAAACUCCGAAUGCCGGAAUAUCAUAUGCGGGAGUCAGACUAUGUGAGAUAAGUUUCAUAGUCGAAAGGGAAACAGCCCAGACCUACAGCUAAGGUCCCAAAAUGUAAGUUAAGUGGAAAAGGAUGUGGAGCUGCAUAAACAGCUAGGAUGUUGGCUUAGAAGCAGCCACUCAUUUAAAGAGUGCGUAAUAGCUCACUAGUCGAGUGGCUCUGCGCCGAAGAUAAACGGGGCUAAAACUUACUACCGAAGCUUAGGAUACAGAAAUGUAUGGUAGAGGAGCAUUGUGUAUGGGCAGAAGCCGAAUCGGAAGGUGAGGUGGACUGUACACAAGAGAGAAUGUUGGCAUGAGUAGCGCAAGGCAGGUGAGAAUCCUGCCCGCCGAAAAUCUAAGGUUUCCUGAGGAAGGUUCGUCCGCUCAGGGUUAGUCGGGGCCUAAGGCGAGGUCGAAAGACGUAGUCGAUGGAUAACAGGUAGAGAUUCCUGUACCACCGGAGGUCGCAUGAGAGAAGUGGGGACACAGAAGGAUAGACUGAGCACGCCGCUGGUAGAGCGUGUCCAAGCGUCAAGGGAGUAGAAGUAGGCAAAUCCGCUUUUACAAUUCUGAGGCGUGACGGGGUGGCAAUAGAGCCGGAAGCAGUCGAUUUCACGCUGUCAAGAAAAGCCGCUAUCAAGACCCGAGGUGCCCGUACCGCAAACCGACACAGGUAGAUGAGGAGAGAAUCCUAAGGCGAGCGAGAGAACCAUUGUUAAGGAACUCGGCAAAAUGACCCCGUAACUUCGGGAGAAGGGGUGCCUGCUUCGGCAGGCCGCAGUGAAAAGGCCCAGGCAACUGUUUACCAAAAACACAGGUCUCUGCAAAAGCGAAAGCUGAAGUAUAGGGGCUGACGCCUGCCCGGUGCUGGAAGGUUAAGGGGAACACUUAGCGCAAGCGAAGGUUUGAACUUAAGCCCCAGUAAACGGCGGCCGUAACUAUAACGGUCCUAAGGUAGCGAAAUUCCUUGUCGGGUAAGUUCCGACCCGCACGAAAGGCGUAAUGAUCUGGGCACUGUCUCAACAAUGGACUCGGUGAAAUUGUAGUACCGGUAAAGAUGCCGGUUACCCGCAGCAGGACGGAAAGACCCCGUGGAGCUUUACUGUAGCUUGAUAUUGAGUUUCGGCGUUGCAUGUACAGGAUAGGUGGGAGACUGCGAGACCAGUACGCCAGUAUUGGAGGAGUCACCGUUGGGAUACCACCCUUGUAACGUUGGGAUUCUAACCUGAUGCCGUAAACCGGCAUAGGGACAGUGUCAGGUGGGCAGUUUGACUGGGGCGGUCGCCUCCUAAAGAGUAACGGAGGCGCCCAAAGGUUCCCUCAGCGCGGACGGAAAUCGCGCGAAGAGUGCAAAGGCAGAAGGGAGCUUGACUGCAAGACAAACAGGUCGAGCAGGGACGAAAGUCGGGCUUAGUGAUCCGGUGGUGCCGAGUGGAAGGGCCAUCGCUCAACGGAUAAAAGCUACCCCGGGGAUAACAGGCUGAUACCCCCCAAGAGUUCACAUCGACGGGGGUGUUUGGCACCUCGAUGUCGGCUCGUCACAUCC
rnacentral:rRNA from 1 species